UGAAAAUCCGUUGGCUUUAUUGACCGUGAGGGUUCAAGUCCCUCUACCCCCA
rnacentral:tRNA from 2 species